UCGACAAUAAAUAAUUUAAGAAUAUUAAAAAUUAAUGAUUUUAAUUGUUUGUAUGGACAAAUCUAGUUAAGCUACUUUUUAUUUGAAUAAGGAAUAUUUUUUUGAUUUUUAAGAGUAAUAACUUAAACUAAUCAUUAACUUAAAUAUCAUAAACUUAAAUGAAUCAUUUGACGUAUCGUUGAAAAAAGUAGGUCUAGUGAGGGUUGGCAAAAUAAAUCGUAGCCAGAAAAAGAACCACAUAGUAAAAUAAUAUUAACAUGAAUAUCAAUUUCUUCUCACGAGGGGAGACUAUAGUGAUAAGAUCCUUUAUAUUUAUUGAAAUUAUUGAAUCUAAAUGAGAUAAAUAUCAAAUGAUUUGAAAAUUCUAUUCUAACUCAAAAAAAAAAUGCAAAAUUUUAGAAGCCACAAACGGAUUUGAACCUCGUACCCUAGGCGUUAAAGAUCAAGGUGUUACCCAUUCGGCAACUAUUCGUUGAUUUUUGUUGCAUGAUAAAAUUGGCUAUUUAAGCUAACUCAAAUUUAAAAAUUACUUUUUCGACUUUAAAAAAGUAAAAAAUGUUAAUAAGUAUAAUAUCAUAUGUCUUAUGAACUUUAUUCUAUGUCAAUGAAAUUAUAUAAUAUUCAUGAAAGUCAGUUUAUUCCCCUAAUAAAAUAUUUUAAAAUAAAAUAAAAUACAAAACCUAGAAUUUUAAUAAAAAAUAGCAUAUUUUUAAAUACGGUAGCCUUUUGCGCAUAGAAGAUAGAAGAUAAGGUGUCGGGACAAAUUUUUUUUUUUCAUUUUAUAGUACAUAAAAAAAGCUUUAAUUUGAUAUAUGUUUAAAGGACGCAGUAUUUCCGGAACAUUUUCAAAAGUUCAGUUGAAAAAGUUCUAUUUUUUAUACAAUGUUUCAAAGUUUGAACCCCCCCUAUAUAAGGGGAAAUUGUCUAAUUUUAAUAAAAAGUAUGUCAAAUGGAAGAUGUACUUAUAAUGUAUUUAGAAAAAAAAAAAUUGUGCUGAUACAUGCAUUUUUCGAAAAGUUAUAGCAUUUUUAAGUUGAAAAUUAAAAAUUGAAAAUCGAAAAUUUUAACACAAAAAUAGUGUUUUUUUAACUACGGCAACCGUUUACAUGCAGAAGAUAAAGUGUCGGGACAAAUUUUUUUUUUUCAUUUUAUAGUACAUAAAAUAAGCUUUAAUUUGAUAUAUGUUUAAAGGACGCAGUAUUUCCGGAACAUUUUCAAAAAUUAAGUUGAAAAAGUUAGUUUUUGUAAAAAAGUUGCAAUUUUAAAUCCCCCCCCAUGAGCAGGUUAAGUGUUAAAUUUUCAAAAAAAUUAUAUCAAAUGAAAGGAAAAUAUCUAAGGUUUUAGUUUAAAAAAAAAUUAUGUUGAUUUGUUGAUUUUUGAAAAAGUUAUGGAAGUUUUAAGAAAAAAAAGUGAAAAAAAUGACAAAAUUUGUCGAUUUUUAAAUUUGUAAUUUUUUUGGAUAUUUCCCCCAUUUGCGGGGAACGAGGGAAAAUUUUUAAAUUUUUAAGGGUAAUGUCUUCAACUAGAUACAAUUUGUGAUCUUUUGACGUAUUGUUAAAAGAAAUCGGUCUAGUGAGAGCUGAGAAAAAGUAGUGACAGACACAAAAAAAAAAAAAAAAAAAAUAAAAAAAAAAAUAAACACA